GCCGCGGUAAUACAGAGACCUCAAACGUUAUCCGGAUUUAUUGGGCGUAAAGGGUCCGUAGGCGGCCAUGCGCGUCGUGGGUUAAAUGUUAGGGCUCAACUCUGACACCGCUCACGAUACGGCGUGGCUAGAGUCCGGGAGAGGCACAUGGAAUUGCCGGUGUAGGGGUAAUAUCCGUUAAUAUCGGCAGGAACGCCAAAUGCGAAAGCAAUGUGCUGGAACGGUACUGACGCUCAGGGACGAAAGCGUGGGGAGCGAAAGGGAUUAGAUACCCCUGUAGUCCACGCCCUAAACGAUGGAUGCUAGAUAUUGGGAGUAUCGACCCUCCCAGUGUCGGUGAAAAAAGCUAACGCAUUAAGCAUCCCGCCUGGGGAGUACGGCCGCAAGGCUAAAACUCAAAGGAAUAGACGGGGACCCGCACAAGCGGAGGAGCAUGUGGUUUAAUUCGACGAUAAGCGAGGAACCUUACCUGGGCUCGAAAUGUAGCUGCAAGCCGAUGGAAACAUUGGCCGCCUUCGAGGGUGCUAUAUAGGUGCUGCAUGGUUGCCGUCAGCUCGUGUCGUGAGAUGUACCGUUAAGUCGGGAAACGAGCGAAACCCCUGUCCCAUGUUGAAUGUUCAUGGGAGACUGCCUCGGAUAACGGGGAGGAAGGUGGGGACGACGUCAAAUCAGCAUGGCUCUUACGUCCAGGGCUACACACGUGCUACAAUGACUAGGACAAUGGGUUGCCAAACCGCAAGGUGGAGCUAAUCUCAUCAAACCUAGCCUCAGUUCGGAUUGAGGGCUGCAAUUCGCCCUUAUGAAGUUGGAUUCGCUAGUAACGGCAUAUCAGCCAUGAUGCCGUGAAUACGUUCUCGGGUC
rnacentral:rRNA from 1 species